UUCAUCAGAGCACUGGAAUGUUGUCACUGCAGCAUCUCACAAUGUAUUGCUACGUUUUAUUGCACGUCCCUGAAUUUUGACAGACUAAUAAAGGUAGAGGCGGGUCUACGCGGGCUUUUUAAACGCGAAUCAACCCGCUCAAAAAACACCUAUCGACGCCCAUUCUCACUUCCGCUGCUGGUGACGGCGCAUGUAAAUGGCGUCACGUUUUACGUCACGAAUGCGCCGGAAACGGUCGUGACAAGCGACAAAAUCCACAACACAUCCAUCGGGAAAGAAACAUUGAGCCUCCUUCUAUGAGUGGAUCUGGGCGGUGCUGGCGAGCAGUUUGUGCCAGCUCACGACUCGCUUGCGUAGGUCGACUUUGUCCAGCCACACAUAAGCCUCCCCAAUCAGGGUCUUCUUCACAAACUUGCCGCCAUUGGACACCAGGAACAGCUGUGGGGAAGAUGACAGAAAGCAGAGUGUCUUGCGAUUAAAAGAGAGUGUCCCGUGGGGUUCAUACAGAAGCGGAAGGUUUCGUUAAACGACGGCUCGCGGUCAUGACGACACACUCUGGUCUUCUUCUUGAUGAUCCUCUUCUGGGUGGCGAUGUUCACCACAUAGAGCUUCACAUAGAGAUCUGUGGACACAAACACACACAUAAAAACCUACCUUGUAUUUUGCACAUGCAGAAGAAACUGUGAAAAAUAAACUGGCCAUGU